AAUGAAGUUUGAAGUAACGAUUCAAACAUAUAGCCGCCAUUGGUAUCAUAGAAUGUAGUCGGAGUACCGGAUGACCUUCCCGUAAGUCUAUGAGUAAAUCCCGAAA
rnacentral:ncRNA from 1 species